GGUUGUUAAAGUUUACAAUGAAUGUAAUUUUAGUAACAUUAAACAUUAUUGAGUAGUUAUAUGACACUGCAGACAUGCACUGGGCCUGGCAUGUUUGUCCAUAGAGAUAAAAAAAAAUCAAAACUUGAAACUAUAAAUUUUCCUUUAUAGGAUGUAUACGCUGAGAAGCAGAAAAGUCCAAAAACAGGAUGACUGGCCUAGGAGGAAAAAGGUUUGUCAAAGUCUUUGUUACUGACAAAAAUUGAAGUACAUUUUCAGAGCUUACUCAAGUUGUUCUGAUGUAAUGGGCUCCAGUUAGGUUGUGAUUUUAGCAAUCUAACAAACACACUUGUCAUUCAUCCUAAUCUUAGAAGGGCAGACAAUCAGCUGUGGCUGAAACAUCUGAGGCUGAGAUCUCCAGGACCACAGAGGAGCCUCCUGAGGG